rnacentral:rRNA from 1 species
UACAGAGGGUGCGAGCGUUGUCCGGAAUCACUGGGCGUAAAGGGCGCGUAGGUGGCGCCGCAAGUCCAUGGUGAAAGCUCGAUGCUCAACAUCGAGUCGGCCACGGAGACUGCGGGGCUCGAGCACUGUAGGGGCAGAUGGAAUUCCGGGUGUAGCGGUGGAAUGCGUAGAGAUCAGGAAGAACACCGGUGGCGAAAGCGUUCUGCUAGACCUGUACUGACACUGAGGGACGAAAGCUAGGGGAGCGAAUGGG